CAGAAUGUGGUGGAUGACCAUAUUUUUUCUUUUGGUUCAACAAGUAAUUCCAAUCAUAAGACAAAGGUUAUUGGGUUUGACACCGAGUGGCUUGCACCUAAUCCUGUUAAAAUGAAAUUAAAAUACCCCCCUCUGAUCUGUUUGACAUUGGCUAAGUAGCGAUAGCGAGCAUGCCAAGAACAGGUGAGAAAUCAAACUAUCACCAUCAGCCUUAAUCCAUUCAUGCAUAUCAGAAGUAGACAAAAAAUAAGUAUGCUGCCAACAAAUUGUUUUGCCAUUAUGAGGCAGAAUAGCAACAAUCCCUUCUAAAUUAUUUAAGCAAAAUUAUUUAACAGUUGUGAAUUAUUUGCGAAAGUCAAAAGUAUUGAACUGUUAUUUGAUAUUGCUGCUAUCACAUGUCUUAUACUGAAAACAACCUUGAUCCAAUUUUAUCUUCUUCGAGUUAUAUUUACUACAUUUAAAGUAAUUGCUUGUAAAAAGGUGUCUCUGACAGUGAACCUUGAUCCAAACUUUAAAAUAUAACUUCUUCGAGUUAAUAUUGUAAAAAGUUGAAGUUUGGAUCAAGGUUCAAAUUAUUUGAAGUUAUACUGAAAUUUGAGGUUUUAUCUUCUUCGAGUUAUAUUUAAUUACUACAGAAAUUUCGAGCAAAUAUUUUGAACCAAAGUGAGAUUGAGUUAUUUAGUUUCAAAUUUCUCCCUUUACCAAAGGUUCUAUUUGGAGUAGGUAAACUAGUGACUGCCCCAGAAUGGUUCGCACCCAUUUAAAUUGGACUUGCUUGGUGAAGAACCAAAAAAAAAAAAAAAAAAACACAAGUUGUAGUUAAUUUUCUUUUGAAUAUGGAUAUGUGCAGAGUAUCCUGAGGCAGCUAGUUAUACAAAGACCCACAUUUGAUGUCCAGAGAUGAUGUAGACCUAGCGUAUUCUUAGUAUCUAGAUCAAUCAUGUGUUAGGAGAGGAGGAUUGAGGCGUUUGUGUCGUCAACCUAUGGGAUACUGCACUUAGAUAUAUGCCUUGGUAUUUCAAAUACAUUAUUUCACUUAUUUAUUGGAGGGCCUGGGUUACACAUGAGAGAAAAAAACUGGAGACAAUCUCCUCCCUUACCUAUUAUCCAUACUUGAAGGAGGGCAAAUGAAGCCAUCUGAAGAAGGUUGCAGUGGCAGCACCACAUGAGCAUAGAGGUACUCCCGCAGACUUGAUCCCAAGAUAUAGAUGUAUGAUACACUUAGCCUUUAUGAUGCUUUUGCUGGGAGUGGGGGGUGAGGGGAACAAGAGGUCACUCCUGCUUGGGAUUCUAUGCAUUAUAUUCUCAUGGAAGCAAGUGAUGUCUUCCACUACCAAGGAAGCAUGAGGAGAGGUGUGCAUAAGUCAAAGUAGAAUACAUUAUGGGUGUAUUUUUAUUUUUUUUUGACAUAUUUGGUCAUGAGAUACAUGUAUUUUGUAACUUCUGACUUCUAUGAUUUUGGUAAAGAUAUUUGGUUGGUC
rnacentral:lncRNA from 1 species